GUCGCGUCUGCGAAGCUAGAGCUGUUGGCAGCCUGUCCCCAGUGGCGCGUCCGCCCCCCUACCGCCCUCACUGCCCGCACCUGCGAGGACGCAGGCUGCUGGAUGGUGCAGUCAUCGCCCCGAGUUUCAUCAUCCAAGGCCACACGGUGCCUGCGGCUGCCCACCAGAGCUGGCAGGAAGGCGGGUGAGGAGUCUGGGACUUGGCCACGCCGCCCUGACUACCGAACGCCAGCUUCCUUCUCAGCAAAACGGGGAUCUGCCCACGGCCUCUGAGGGUUGUUGUGAGACUUCAAGGACCAUCUGCCAAGUGGUCAGGUUUUCCCGACCACUCCAUCUGACCUCAGACCUCCAUCACUUCCGUUUUAUUUUCUGCCUACCAUCUGAAAUUAUCUUCGGUUACUUUUUACUGGCUUAUGGUUUACCUCCCCCGACUAACCGUGCGAGCUCCAGAGGGGCAGAGGCAGUGUCUUUCUUGUUCAUGGCAUUCGCAGCACCUCUAACAGUUCCCGCCACAGAGGAGCCACUCAGUAAAUAUUUGUUGAAGAAUGAAUGCCCAGCACAAGGGGGCUAUUAUGUUUGGUAACGGUGUCUGCUGGCGAAAGGCUCCCUGGCUUGCCCAGAGCAAGAGCAGGGCAAGACUAGGAGGUGGCGUAGGGUGGCGCAAAGGGAGUUCUGGAAGACUCGGGGUCUAAUGGAGACACCAAAAUCUACAAAAUCAAAAAUACAAAUACAGAAUCUACAAAAUCCCGUCUAGGUCCCAGAUUCUCCAUGUGCAAAAUGAGUUAAAUACCCUCUAAGGUCCUUCCCCUUGGAAAUUCUGUGAGUCUGGGUGUUUUCAACCAGAAAAACAGCCCAGAGCUCCCACAUCCCAACACACACACACUCACAUUAGGUUUAUGAAAGUUGGGGCAGCAGUGUAGGGGAGAAGGUAGACCUGAGUCGGAAUAUCCACAGUUGCAUACAGCCGUGCACUGCUUAACUGAGUUUGUACUACCUCGUCUUCGUAAAGCCUAGUUUCCCCAUGCGUAAAGUCAGGGUAACACCUACCUCAUACUGUGAUUAAAUACAUUGGUUGCCAAUAAAAGAGGAAAGUAGGUGGGGAGAACAACAGAAACCGAAGAUAUCUUUGAGUAUUCCUAUGUCUGCAAACUGGCUUGGUCCACCAAAGGCGCUGGAAAGUUAUUUGGGCUCUCAUGUACUGGUUCCACCCCCGCACCUUUGUCUACACUAGGUCUUGAUGGCCAGGUAUUCAGUCUCUAGGUAAAAGUCUUCCCCAGUGAGCUUAGCUCCUCCUUCAGUGUCGUCGUUAUCAACUGCCCAGUUGAGACACAAACAUAACCCUCCACCUCCAAAACACGCUUGACCUUGACUUGCAUGUAAUGUCCAUGCAGUCCCUUGCUGUCCACCCACGUGUCAGUGUACUAUGCUCUUCUGUUAUCUCUGUCUCUGAUCAGUAGGGACAGGGGAGGAGGGGCUUAGAGAGGUGAUCACAAAUCUAUUUCCACAACUGAGAACAACAAGCACACAGCCUUCUUAUGUGUGCUCCCACGUCAUCACUGUGAAAAACAAGUCGAGUGCCUAAUAUGCCCUCUGCCAACCCGUCUCUCUGAGAUUGCAUGAGGAAAAAAGCUUCAUUGAUUUCUUGUGAACCACUGUACAAUUUGCAAAGCACUUUCUUACCCAAAAGCACAGGCAGUAUUAUUCCCACUUUAUAGAUGAGGCUCAGAGAGGUUAGGUGACUUGUUCAGGUGGUACAGCUAAAAGGAGAGCAGGAAUUGUGAUUUCUAACCCAGUGCUACAGCCCACGCAUGCAGGG
rnacentral:lncRNA from 1 species